CAUUUAGGAAGCCCUGAUGAUGGUAAAAUCUUUAUUAGACAUUUUGGCCAACUAAUUUUGGUAACACAUUUGGGAAGCCCUGAUGAUUUUAACCGUGUAACUGAAACUAGGUGGUCGAAAUAUCUAAUAAAGAUUGUACUUUUCACUGUGCUAAAAAUGUUGUUUUUUGCUCAUAAUAUUACUAAUUGUUUGUAUCUACAGAAGCAGCCAGGUCAUAAAGGUCACUUGGUAAUAUAUUCAAGAUGAAGUCUGUUUAUGUAACCUACUAAUCUAAUUGUAAAUUUGUAAAAGUACAAAUUAUCAGUUGCUGGUAUUCUCAUGUGUUCAUUAGCAAUACAUGUAAGAAUAGUAACCAAGAAUAACAGGAGGAACAGCAUAAAAUCUUUUAUAAAAUGUAACUGAGUUUCUGAUUUUCACUGGAGUUUGAAGAAAUGAAUGAAACACAGUGUAAAACAAAGUAUAAUUUUUUUUUAAUACAAAAAGAAAUCAACUUUAAGACACAACACUGAACAGUGUGUUCUCUAAAUGGAGAAAGAGAGCUAUCAUUGGAUGAUAUGAAGUAAGAGGGGAAGAAUACAGGUCAUGACCUCAAGGUAUCACUGAGCUUGCCACAUGACCAAACCCUUUACAGUAACUACUUAGCAUGCAAAGCUGUAUAGUUUUUCAGUGGUCUCUACCAUGGGAAGGCUUUGAAUAACACCAAACAGGAACAACCUAUAACAACAACAAAAAAAACAGCAUUCUAGAAGCAAAAUGUUCACUUUUCUAAAUUUAAAAAGAAAACACCUACUGUAUGUGUCAUACAACAUAAACACUAGUAGACUGUAAACUGUGUAAAUACACUACCUUCACCCAUGUGAACUGUAAAAAACACCUACUGUGUGUCUCAUACUACAUAAACACUAGUAGACUGUAAACUGUGUAAAUACACUACCUUCACCCGUGUGAACUGU